ACGAGUAAAGUCCUUCGGGACUUUCUUAUCCAAACACCUGUGAAAAUUAAUUUUUGCUUUGGGAAUUUAAUUAUUCCCAACAAUCAAAACCACUAAGUUGUCUUUUGUCUGAAUGAUUAUUUAAAAAUCA
rnacentral:misc_RNA from 1 species